rnacentral:lncRNA from 1 species
AAAUUGGUUGUUCAUGGUGGUUGUGGUAUUGAUAUCAAUGGCAAUCUUGUAAUUACUUGAAGAUGAUGAGGGUGAGAGAGUAAAGAUGUCAUUUUCGAACAAAAAAAAAAAAAAUUGAUGGCAUUUUCGUAAAUUAUAUGAACUUGUGGGGUGAAUAGGGCAAAACCAAUUUUCAAAAAAAAGGGAGGUUAGUUUUGUGUUUAACUUUAAGUUGUAGGUCAAUUUUGCAAAAAGCCCUAUUUGUUAAGUCUAUGUGGUUUGUAAUAAUACGUACUGUCUCAUUAUCGAAUACACAAAUUA